CUACGGGGUGCAGCAGUGGGGAAUAUUGGGCAAUGGACCAAAAGUCUGAUCCAGCAAUUCUGUGUGCACGAUGACGGUCUUCGGAUUGUAAAGUGCUUUCAGUUGGGAAGAAAAAAAUGACGGUACCAACAGAAGAAGCGACGGCUAAAUACGUGCCAGCAGCCGCGGUAAUACGUAUGUCGCAAGCGUUAUCCGGAUUUAUUGGGCGUAAAGCGCGUCUAGGUGGUUUGAUAAGUCUGAUGUGAAAAUGCGGGGCUCAACUCCGUAUUGCGUUGGAAACUGUCAAACUAGAGUAUCGGAGAGGUGGGCGGAACUACAAGUGUAGAGGUGAAAUUCGUAGAUAUUUGUAGGAAUGCCGAUAGAGAAGUCAGCUCACUGGACGAAUACUGACACUGAAGCGCGAAAGCAUGGGGAGCAAACAGGAUUAGAUACCCGUGUAGUC
rnacentral:rRNA from 1 species